UCUAAUUUUUAAACUAACGGAGCUUAACGUUAUCUGCUGAGCAUAAAUUCGCUAUGUUUCAUGCGCGUAGCCCGUGUAGCUCUUAAUAUUAUUUUGACUCACGGCAUUAUGUCACGCACGACGCACCAACCGAAGGAUCUGGCCAUCAAAAAGUUACGAUUAUACAAUAUUGUGGUUAAUACUAUCAUACCUUAUACCUACAUUCAUGGUUAGGUAGGCACUUGGAGUGGUGGUUUUAUUAGUUAAAAUUAAAAAUAUAUGGGGAAACCGUAAAUGGGUCAGUCUCUCUCCCGGUUCCCACGGAUCACCUUUGGGAUUAUGAUUCAACAUAAUCUCCAGUUCGUACGACGUCCUCACGUGAUCCAACAGCGAUGUAGCAAAUGUCUGAACAGUAUUCCUCAUUUCCUAUUCCAUGGUGCUUAGUCGGCGAAGCUCCCAGCUUAAUUCGAAAGCGGUCAGUAGAGGAUCUCUUGAUGAUAGAGCUAUUAGGGAUGGAGACGUAAGUGCUUUGUAUGCGUUUAUUCUUGAAUGCGAGUGCCGAAGUGAAUCAUGUGUGUUUGACGUAAUACACUCGUCACAGCCACACCUGAAAUAAUAAAUUAAUAUAAUUAUAGAUAAGUACUUAGAUGUAUGCAACUUUAAGUAAAUCUAAUGACAGCAUAAAAUAACAAAAAUGUGAUGCUUUACGUAGGUAAUAGUUCGAUGAACUUUUUGCCGACCACUAAAUGGCAAUUUAUCAGUGUAAUUCAUUAAGAUCGGCUUAAG